rnacentral:rRNA from 1 species
CCCCUAGAUGUUCUGGGCCGCACGCGCGCUACACUGAACAGUUCAACAAGUCUUAACCUUGGCCGAUAGGUCUGGGUAAUCUUUGAACGCUGUUCGUGAUUGGGAUAGACCUUUGCAAUUAUGGGUCUUCAACGAGGAAUUCCUAGUAAACGCAAGUCAUCAGCUUGCAUUGAUUACGUCCCUGCCCUUUGUACACACCGCCCGUCGCUCCUACCGAUUUCGAGUGGUCCGGUGAAUCUUUCGGACUGCGCGCGGCCUCGUGCCGUGUCGCGGAAAGUCAGGUAAACCUUAUCACUUAGAGGAAGGAGAAGUCGUAACA